rnacentral:rRNA from 1 species
UACGAAGGGGGCUAGCGUUGCUCGGAAUCACUGGGCGUAAAGCGCACGUAGGCGGGUUCUUAAGUCAGGGGUGAAAUCCUGGAGCUCAACUCCAGAACUGCCUUUGAUACUGGGAAUCUCGAGUCCGUGAGAGGUGAGUGGAACUGCGAGUGUAGAGGUGAAAUUCGUAGAUAUUCACAAGAACACCAGUGGCGAAGGCGGCUCACUGGCCCGGUACUGACGCUGAGGUGCGAAAGCGUGGGGAGCAAACAGG